GACAGUUCGGUCCCUAUCUGCCGUGGGCGUAGGAGAAUUGGUUGGGGCUGCUCCUAGUACGAGAGGACCGGAGUGGACGCACCACUGGUGUUCCGGUUGUGUCGCCAGACGCAUUGCCGGGUAGCUAAGUGCGGAAGAGAUAAGUGCUGAAAGCAUCUAAGCACGAAACUUGCCAAGAGAUGAGUUCUCCCAAUCUAAGAGAUAGUAAGGGUUGUUGUAGA
rnacentral:rRNA from 1 species